AAAAGUGAGAAAAUCCCCCAGUCCUUAGGUUUGUAGUAAUCCAGUUAUGAUGUUGAAAAUGUGAAUAUAACUAUAAAAACUGUCACUUUAAAAAUAACUCAGGCAAAGUUAUCAGUAAGGACAGGAGAGAGCAGGACAAGCUGUUCCUCCUUCAGCUGCCACACAAGGUAUAUCAAGCACUCUGUCGCUCCACAGACCAGGUCCCAUCAGGUGUUCUUGUCUCCCAGGCAGAACAAAUGAGAAACGUUUAUCCGGUUGUUGAACAGCUGCAGCGUUCCCUCCAGAUCCCGGUCUGAAUCAUUCCGACUGGUUCUAGCAUGACACAGUCUGAGUUUGGACUGGUUUUAAUGGGACGGCCCGUCACCAGGCUCAGUGAGGGGAGGAGUUCCACUCUGACAGACUUUGUGUUGGAGCUGAAGAGCUGCUGCGUUCUCUCUGUUCUUCUGUCAGUACCAGGGAAAACAAUGCAGCUGCUGCUUUUCUCCUGCAUGAUGAUGAUCUUCUGCCUUCAGCCAGGAUCCUCUGAGGAUUUACUGACACCAUUUAAAGGCGAUCAACUGGAUUUGGAAGGAAACGACGUGACUCUGUCCUGCAACUAUUCAGGAGCAGUAAACCUGCUGCUGUGGUACCGACAGACGCCCAGUUCAUCUCCACAGCUGGUCACCUCAGGAUAUUCAGACACAACAGGAAGGGUUUCCUUGAGACACGAGAAAACAAGAAAGACAUUUCAUCUGCUGAUCUCCUCUGCUGCAGUGACAGACUCUGCUGUGUACUACUGCGCUCUGCAGCCCACAGUGACAGGAAACACCAGAACCCUGUACAAAAACCUGCAGUACUCCACAGCAGCCACUAGAGGGCCUCCCUCCCUGUUAAACCACUAAAACCUGCAGUACUCCACAGCAGCCACUAGAGGGCCUCACUCCCUGUUAAUCCACUAAAACCUGCAGUACUCCACAGCAGCCACUAGAGGGAUGUUUGAAAGUACAUUAGAGCAUUUAAAAACAUACAUGUUGGUUUUGGCAGGAAUUCGUCUUUAUGGAAAAAGUAUUAUUAAAUGUUUUAAUAUAUAGCUUAUUAUAUUUAAAACAUUCUUAAUUAAGAAUGUUCUCAAAGUUAAUUAACUAUUGAUUAAUGGCUAAAUAAGGUUUAGUUAUUAAAAGUUUGUUCCAGUUUUCUGCUGCAUCGUCUUGGAACCAGUGUCAGACAUACAUGAACCUAAAGGGUCUGUUGUCUCUAAAUAUUUCUCAGACUGUUCUUUGAGAAGGAAACAUGUACAUUUAUGACUGUGAACUUUUUCCCGUUUUGCUGUGUGAAUGUUCUGUAAAUUGUGAGCUGCUGCCAGUCUUGGCCAGGAUUCUCUUGUAAAAGAUUUUUAAUCUCUGUGGGAUAAAUCAAUAAUAAUCAUUAUCUUAUGA